rnacentral:ncRNA from 1 species
GAAAGCCGUGUACAUCGAGAGGUGUAAGCACGGUUUGGGAGGGGCUUUGUGCAAACCUGUCAUCGAAAGAUGAUAAGGCGGCACACUGCUACCUCAC